GGUUGGGGUAGUCAUCUGAGUCGGGGUCGGGGUCGGGGUCGGGGUCGUAGUCGGGAUCAGGGUAGUUAAAAUAGGAUCCUGAUUUAGGAUCAUAUUCAAGAUCAUUAAAAUAGGAUCCUGAUUCAAGAUUGGGUGUGAGGUUGAAGUUUGUAUUUGUAGGAGGUGAGCCACUUGGGCCAAAUAUGUGUAAAAGUAGUAAUUAAGUGGAAGUUGGGUUCGUUUCAGAGUGAUUUUGGAUAGGCCAAUAAUCACUUUUGUGAAAAAUCACUUUUACAUAUAAGUGAUUUUAUGGAGAAGCACAUGGUAGGUUCUUCCCCUUAGAAUCGCUCUCGUUAUACCCUA
rnacentral:lncRNA from 1 species